rnacentral:tRNA from 1 species
ACCUUGAUAGUUUAUAAAAAAUAUUAAUUUGUGGAAUUAAAGAAGUAUGAUAAUUUACUUUAGGUA